UUGUCAAACUCCUUUUUGCCAGAUUUAAUUAAUGAUGGUUAAUAUCUCUAUUCAUGCUAACUUGAAGGGAAUUUCUCAUGCUGUUCAUCGGAUGUGGAGCUUUUAGGUGUUACUCUGCAAACCCCAGGGUGAAGAGAGCAUUUAUAGUAGUUCAGAUUGAUCAGUGAACAAUCUUCUGGCCUUUGGAGAAGGCUACUGAGCAAAAUAAACCUUUGGUAGUGGCCAUGCAAUUAUCUAGCCUAGAUUAAAUCUUGAUAAAAAACAAUGCUUAUCUUAAAAUUGAGGUCAUGAAAGACAUGAACAACAAUGGAACAACUGCCAAGCAAUUCUACUCUUCUCUGGGGUGUCUCUUGCAGCUCCCCUUUAAAUGCCUGUUUUGCUGGAGAGAUGUGGCUGUGUCCCUGUGCAUCCUGCCUGGACCUACCUCCUCUCUUGGCAGCCCCUUCUCUCCUUGGCAACAAUUUUGUUGGCAAGCUACAGUUAAUCUUGAAGAAUAUUUAACGAGCUCCCUUUGUGCAAAUAAAGUAGAGAGCUACAUUCUUUUAAAAGUUAUAUUCUUCACAUAUCACUAUAUCAGGCUUGUUAAAACACAAACAUGCAGCCACCAAGCAGCAAAAGUACCAGUUUGUAAAAGCAAUCCUUUCUCUUGUUCUGCCCUGCAAGAGCUGCUUCUGUAAAGUUUAUUUCCUUUAUUUUGUUGAUGGAGAUUAAACUUAAUGGAACUUAAAUAUUCUCAGUUCUGUUCUGGUUUUGUAGGGACAGUGUUCCCAGAAAAACUCCAGAGUGGCUCUUAUGUUCUGCUUCAGGAACUAAUCACUGUACAAGCUGUCUGUGUUCCUUGCCCCAUCAGGAAAUAGUAUUUUCAAUCCACUCUCAGUUAAUUUUCUUCUCUUUGACGAUUUGUGAUUGUGCUGCCUCAGUUUAGAUUUUGGAUGAGGUAGAAAAUAUAUUUUAUAAAGAAACCUAUAUUUUUUUUUAACUUUUAUUUUUAUUAUAAAUGCAUGUGCACAAUAAGAUUCUCAAAUACCAAUGAGUAGCCCAUAACUAGUUCUGAGCAUUUUUAUGAGCCAAGACAUUUUGCUGUAAUCCCUUUCUGGUUCUCUUCAAGAGUUCAACAUGUGUGUGGUGAGGAAAGGCACCAGGGAUCACUUAUUGUUCAGAAAGCACAGCAUUAACUCUCUAAGUACUGCAGUAGUGAAUGUGCAUUGUACUUCUUGAUGAAGAGAUUUUAAUACCUGCAAUAUCUAUGCUGGUUUAGUGGUGAAAUAACUAUGCUUUUCACAGGUCCUUGUUUUAAUAGCCUUAAAUAAGCUGCCUUGCCAAAGCUUGGGAAUUGGGGUGCAAGUAAUGUUACUUACCACAUGGAACAAUUUAAUUUGUUACAAUGAAAUUUCCAGGAGGAGACAUGUUAGAAUCUGUUAUGGAGGAAAGGAUAUGACUACUAUUGGCUUACCUAUCAAACAUUGAAUAAAACUUUGAUGGAAUAUAAAACAAGAAGUGGGGAAUAAUAGAAUAAUUUUGAUAGUUUUUAUUAAUGGGAGAAGGGCAUACUUCUAAUGAGGAUUUUUUUUUAAUAGUGGUACUAAUUGAACAAGAAGCCUACAAAUUAAGUCUUGCAUUAUCCCUGUUUUUUGCUGGAAUGUUCAUUGGAAAUACCACAUUUGGCCUUCUGUCAGUUAAAUUGGGCAGGAAACCAGUGUAUAUUUCAGCUGGGUUUGCAAACAAAGGAUCUUGUUAAAUGAAAACACUGUCUCAAGGAAAUGUCAGGAGUCUUCUUCCUCCUCCUUUCUUUAUCAUUCUGUCUCCAAGAGCCCGGAUCCGCAGCGGAGCUCUUCCAUGAGCUGCUCCCACAGGAAUGGGGCCCGGCCAGAAAAGCGCUUGGCUUUGUCCGGGGCACUGUCAGCGCUCACCAAAAGCACCGCACCACGGCGCUGUCAGCUCGCGAAGGAAGGACCCGCACCGAGCCAGCGCGAAACCGCCCCCGGGGCAGAGCCACGUCGGAAGGCAAAAAUUCCCAGUCCUCCCAAGUGCACACCCUUCUUCACACCACACUCAAACAGCAACACGAAUUCCUUUGCCCUAACAAGGCUUUUUGCUCUCACAGAGUCUGGCCACAAUCUUGACAACAUCUGGUAAAAACAGAGCUCACUGAGAAAGCUGCCAGCUGAGAAAGCUCUUGCUGCCUACAACUUCAAGUGCACCCAUCGAUUUACCAGAUCCCACCCUGCUAUCAGCACUUUGCUUCUCAGUUCUUCUCUGAGUUUUUAGCUCAGCUCUAAGCCUUCAGUCUCCCAGAGUCAGGAUCCAAACAGAACGGCACCAGGGACUCACACACUGAAGGUCAGCAGAAGCACGUGGGUCUGAUGGCACACUCCUCAUCCAGCAGGGGUCAGGGCUUGGCAGAGCCUGGGCUGGGAGGGUUUCCCCAAAAAUAUCCUACAAGCAAUCUUAUUCAUGUCAGUUGUGCAAAUUUCUUAGAAUGAUACAUUUCUUGCAGAUAACUACGCAAGUUACGUGCAAGUUUCUAAAGCAGCUGUUUUGGUGUAAAAAACAGCUGGCAGAAGUGUCUCAGACAUCUAUCGUUAGCUAAAUAAUACUGAUGGUGUCAGUCACAUAACACCCAGGUUUCAUCUUGUAAACCAACUCUGCCUGAGGCCUGAGCAUCAGCACAUCUGAGUCACUUCGUUUGUUCAGCCUGGGAAACUGGAGACUGAAGAGGAGACCUCACUGAGGUUUUCAAUAUCCUCUUGAGGGGCACUGGAGGGGCAGGUACUGCUCUCUUCACUCUCAUGACCAGUAACAAGGCCCCAGGGACUGGCUGGAGCUGUGUCAGGGAGGAUUAGGUUAGGUAUCAGGAAAAGGUUCUUACCCCAAAGGCUGGUCAGGCACAGAACAGGCUCCUCAGGGCAGUGGUCAUAGUACCAAGCCCGUCCGUACUCAAGAAAUGUUUGGACAACACUCUCAGGCACAGGGGAAUUCCUGUGCAGGGCCAGGAGUUGGACUUCAUGAUCCUGAUGGGUCCUUCAACUCAGGAUAUCCUGUGAUUCUGUGUGCACUGAAUGAUUAUCUCAAACUGGUUUGCACUGGCACUCAGUGCUUGUCUGUAACUGCUUCCAAUUUAUUUCUGCAGUCAACCUCAGGGCAUUGACAGACUGAUCAAACACAGAGUUUAAGGAAAAUGCCCCUUUUUAGGUGACAGUGUCCAAGGCCAGGUUGCACGGGGCUGUGAGCAACCUGAUUUCCUAUGGGAGGGAUGUG